UUGGACUUAAACCCCAAAGAUAAAGCCAAUUAGUCUUUUUUUAGAA
rnacentral:tRNA from 1 species